rnacentral:rRNA from 1 species
UACGUAGGGGGCAAGCGUUGUCCGGAAUCAUUGGGCGUAAAGAGCGUGUAGGCGGCCUUAUAAGUCGGCUGUGAAAGUCAAGGGCUCAACCCUUGAAUGCCGGCCGAUACUGUGAGGCUAGAGUCCGGAAGAGGCGAGUGGAAUUCCUGGUGUAGCGGUGAAAUGCGCAGAUAUCGGGAGGAACACCUAUGGCGAAGGCAGCUCGCUGGGACGUUACUGACGCUGAGACGCGAAAGCGUGGGGAGCAAACAGG